rnacentral:rRNA from 1 species
AUUGAACGCUGGCGGCAGGCCUAACACAUGCAAGUCGAGCGAGCGGCGGACGGGUGAGUAAUGUAUGGGGAUCUGCCUGAUGGAGGGGGAUAACUACUGGAAACGGUAGCUAAUACCGCAUACCAUCAGAUGAACCCAUAUGGGAUUAGCUUGUAGGUGAGGUAACGGCUCACCUAGGCGACGAUCCCUAGCUGGUCUGAGAGGAUGAUAAGCGGCAUUGGGACUGAGACAAGGCCCAGGUUCCUACGGUAGGCAGCAGUGGCGAACUGUGCACAACGGGCGGAAGUCUGAUGCAGUCAGGGCGCGUGUAGGAAGAAGGCGUUAGGGUUGUAACGGAGUUUUAGCGGGGAGGCGUUACCGACAGAAGAAGCACCGGCUAACUCCGUGCCAGCAGCCGCGGUAAUUC